rnacentral:rRNA from 1 species
UACGUAGGGGGCAAGCGUUGUCCGGAUUUAUUGGGCGUAAAGAGCGUGUAGGCGGCCAAGCAGGUCCGCUGUGAAAACUCGAGGCUCAACCUCGAGAGGUCGGUGGAAACCGUUUGGCUAGAGUCCGGAAGAGGAGAGUGGAAUUCCCGGUGUAGCGGUGAAAUGCGCAGAUAUCGGGAAGAACACCCGUGGCGAAGGCGGCUCUCUGGGACGGUACUGACGCUGAGGUGCGAAAGCGUGGGGAGCAAACAGG